AAAAUACCCAAAUAACCCAUUCAGCCAACAAAACCCUCGAUUUCUAUGAGUUUCAAAAUGGCAUUUGGAGCUCUGAGAACUAUAACUUACCCACAAACAAGAACCCUAAUGUCUCAUACUUCCAAUUCUACUUUAGCUUUUUCUAUGACAUUUUUUUUGUCCCUUUCUCUUUCUGCAAACCUCGACUUUCACUUUGCUCUUUAUCAAUCUCCAUGAUUCCAUAUUUCAAGUCAUUUUAGCAUCUUCUCUGAGUCAAAUCAUUUUGAUGAGGCCAGCUUGAGAACUCCUGGAUAUAACAUGUUGAAGUCAUCAACUAUUGAUUCAUUUUUUUAAGAGGAAAUAAAAGGCUACAAACAUUUCACAAUCUAGUGAGCGAGCUUCUGCGUCUAUUGAUAAUGCAAUUGUUGAGCAAUCACCAUCCAAAGUUCCAAGAAUUGAUCAUGAAGAGGUUGAUAUCGCUUCUUUGAUUUAUAAUCCAGGUUUACGCCCUCAAAUUUGGUAGUAUCCAGUUAAUCAACAAGAUGAAAUUUGAAGUGCAUAUAUCAAAUUUGGGCCAUAUUGUCCUCUUGCAUCUAAAUUUGAAUAUCCAUUCUCUAGUUAAGAAAGUCAUCCUCAUCGAUUUCAAUUUCACUAGUUUAAAAGUUUUCCAUGAUUAGAGUACUCUCCUGCAAAAGAAGUUGCAUUUUGU
rnacentral:misc_RNA from 1 species